GCCUGGCUGGCUCAGUUGGUGGAGCACAGGACUCUAGAUCUCUUGAGUUGUGAGUUCGCGCCCCAUGCUGGGUA
rnacentral:tRNA from 1 species